rnacentral:rRNA from 1 species
GAUGAACGCUGGCGGCGUGCCUAAUGCAUGCAAGUCGAGCGAACGGACGAGAAGCUUGCUUCUCUGAUGUUAGCGGCGGACGGGUGAGUAACACGUGGAUAACCUACCUAUAAGACUGGGAUAACUUCGGGAAACCGGAGCUAAUACCGGAUAAUAUUUUGAACCGCAUGGUUCAAAAGUGAAAGACGGUCUUGCUGUCACUUAUAGAUGGAUCCGCGCUGCAUUAGCUAGUUGGUAAGGUAACGGCUUACCAAGGCAACGAUGCAUAGCCGACCUGAGAGGGUGAUCGGCCACACUGGAACUGAGGCACGGUCCAGACUCCUACGGGAGGCAGCAGUAGGGAAUCUUCCGCAAUGGGCGAAAGCCUGACGGAGCAACGCCGCGUGAGUGAUGAAGGUCUUCGGAUCGUAAAACUCUGUUAUUAGGGAAGAACAUAUGUGUAAGUAACUGUGCACAUCUUGACGGUACCUAAUCAGAAAGCCACGGCUAACUACGUG